rnacentral:misc_RNA from 1 species
GAUGAAGAACGUAGCGAAAUGCGAUAAGUAGUGUGAAUUGCAGAAUUCAGUGAAUCAUCGAAUCUUUGAACGCACAUUGCGCCCCUUGGUAUUCCAUGGGGCAUGCCUGUUCGAGCGUCAUUUGUACCUUCAAGCUCUGCUUGGUGUUGGGUGUUUGUCUCGCCUCUGCGUGUAGACUCGCCUUAAAACAAUUGGCAGCCGGCGUAUUGAUUUCGGAGCGCAGUACAUCUCGCGCUUUGCACUCAUAACGACGACGUCCAAAAGUACAUUUUUACACUCUUGACCUCGGAUCAGGUAGGGAUACCCGCUGAACUUAAGCAUAUCAAUAAGGGAGGA